UGACAAGAAUGUGCAAGUUUGACCAUUUGACUUGAAUAUAGGCGGUAAAUAUAGCCGCGAGGGGUUAAAGACAAUUGGCGAAAUGAAAGUCACUCAAAAACAAAGAGCGAUAACAAGGCAGUAUCGACAUAGAUUUAAAGAUAUUUUGUCCUGUUUUUUUCAGUUAUUUGAUUUAGUGGACUAUAAUAAACUACCGCGUUGUUGCACUAUUAAGCAUGUUCCUCUUGUUCGCAAGAAUGGGAUAGUGCAGAGGAUAAAGAAGAAGAGCAUUGCUAUGGAUGUAGCAGUGAUGAAGAAAUUUGACAUCUCCGUCAUAAUUAUUACAUGUUCAAGAUAAUUGGAUUAGUAUAUAUAUAUACUAGACAUCGGAGCCCGUGCUAGCACGACCCAAUAUAUAUCAUUUUUUAUUUCAAUUUAUGUGACAAGGACAAAAUUAAAGAGUUAGUCAAACUUUAAUAUUAAUUUAAAAUAGUUUAAAUUUUUAAUUAUUGUUAACUAUGGUAAAAAAAAAUUUAUGUCUUUUAACAUUCUAAAUUGUCAAUUAUUGUUGUAUUAUUUAUGUAAGGUAUUUAUUACAUUCUCUAAGCUAUCAACCCCAAUUUAACCUUUGAACUCAUUGAUGUUCAUUAAAACGUGUCAAAAUGUAUUUAUUAUGCAUUUAUUAAUGUCAUUCAAAAUGCAUUUAUUUAUUCUACCCAUAGCUUAUUGGAACUCAAUGAUUAUCAAUUAUUUGAAAAUGGAUGUUCAUUGCAUGUUGAUUGUGGAGUUGUUACAAACUAUACUUAUAUGUUUAUUUUAUAAUUUGAAAAUUAGAUUCAAACAACUCUUUUUAUGAUAUAUAUAAAUAACAUAAAAUCUAAAAUAUACUAAUAUAAUAAACUAAAACUUCACACAUAAUAUAUUGUUCGAACUAUAUUAUUGCAAGUAUUUUUUUGUCAUUAAAUUAGCUUAGAAGACAAAUCUUUCAUUAUAAAAACGGAUGAAGUAAUGAAAAGAGGAGACGAUGCGGCUCCUCUCAAGUAGUAGCUUUUGGAACGAAUGUCUAGACAAUUACACAAUCCGCUUCAUUAAAUGAUCUGAUUUUUGGAAUAACUUUCAAUACACUGUCAAUACAAUUUAUUUCCAUUCAUUGUUACACAGUGUAAUCUGCCCGCAAAAUAGUACAUCACUACACAAAACGAAAAGUCACAAUUUGUCACUACUUAAAAGGGUUUCAAACUCUUCAUUUCACUAUUAUUGCCAAACACCGAAAAGUUCAUUUUGAAUUUAAACUUUUUUGAUUCCGAAAAUUUGCCUUUAAUCAAAAAAAUGAAGAGAGCGAAAAUUUCACUGAUGUGUGUUACAUUUAAUUUUGUUUCCGUUUGUAUUCGACUCCUUAAUUCAUUUUAAUUUACAGAUGUGUGUUUAAUUUAAUUAUUUUUUUCAGUAGAACUAUUUAAAAAAUAUAUAAAUCCAGAUGCUGCCCUAAAACUAAUUCACAAAGCUUCAAAAGGAGGAUACGGCGCUGCAAAAUAUGCUUUUGGCAUAAUAUCUAUCUUCAUAGGCGGUGUAUAUGAAGAUCAAGGGGUAAAGACAAUUGGUAAAUAAGAUUGUAAUAGUUUAUAUUUAAAUCUUCUUGACAAAAAUUGAAGAUUUUUGAGUAUUCCAAGUUGAAUCCUUAUGAUGAAAAUAAACCUAAAGGAUAUAAUAUUAAAUGAGUUAUAUGUAAUGAUAAAAGUUAUAAAAUAAAAAAUGAUACAUUCAUGAUUAUAUGAAUUAAAAAAUGUAGGGAUUUUAUUACAUUAAGUUAUCUAGCCGAAUUAUUCCUAUGAAUUCAAUGAUUUUCAUUAAAUGUGGCAAAAUGUAUUUAUUUUGCAUUUAUUAAUGUGAUAAAAAAAUCUAUUUUUUUUAUUCUUCCCAUAGAUCAGACAUUGGAACUUAAUGAUCAUUAAGAGUUCCUUAUCAUUAAUUGAAAAUUGAUGUUCAUUCCAUGUGGAAUGUGAUUUUGUGAUAGCACAUCCUAUAAAAUAAUUUGUAGGGUUAAAAGAGAUACUUAUAUGUUUAUUUUGUAUUUUAGAUACAAACAACUUCACACAUAAUAUUUGUCAUUGAAUUAACUUAGAAGAUAAAUCUUUCAAUAAAAGAGUCGGUCAAUAAAAAUAUUCAAUAAUGGAAAUAGAAGAGAGUAGCUUUUUGAAACGAAUACCUAGACAACUACUUCUCACAAUCUCCUUCAUUAAAUGAUCUGAUUUAUGGAACAACUUCCGAAGCACUCUCAAUACCAUUCAUCUCAACUGAUAAGUCACAACUCUUCAAACUUGAAAUUCUUUGAAUCCGAAAAUCUAACUUGAGUGUUUGUCUUCCCUAAGUUAAUAGCUUGUACAUAAAGUUUCCACACACUUCCCAAAGACAGCUAGCUACUCCUUCUACGAGAGAGUUGAUAUUCAUUAAGAAGCGUAAAUAUAGUUCUUUUCGUAAUUAUAAACGAAUGCUAUUGCAGCGCAAAUGUUUAAAGCAAGAUUAAACGUUUAGUCAAUUAGUCAUGAGUUCGAGUCUAGGUUAGGUCCCCAUAUUUAUGUUAUUAUUUUUGCGUCGCUUCCCGUUCAUUUUAUUUUAAUUUUCGACUCAAAGUUUUUGAUUACAUUUAUUAUCUAUGAAAUUAAUAAUUAAAGGUCUGAAAUAACUUAUAUCAUAAUAAAUUUUGAUAAUGCAUUAAUUUAAUUAUAUUUUAAAUUAUUAUCUUCCAAUAAAAUUGAUCUUAAAAAAGAUGAGUGUAAGAAAUUCAACUUAUCAAAUCAAAUCUUGUCAAAAUUCUAGGUGUACUCAAGAACUUAUCUUAGACUUGAAAAAAUAAUAAAACUAUUCCGUCGAUUCACCUUUGUUAUAUUUACUACUACAAAUUUUUUAUAUAAGAAUAAGUUUAUUUUCAAUAAUAAUAAUAACUAAGGGUCUGAAAAUUUUUAUAUCAUAGAAUAUUUUGAUGAUUAAAUUAAUUAAUUAAAUUUUAUAUUCUUACCUUUCGAUAAAAAAUCUUAAUUAAUGGAUUUGCCUUACAAAGGAAGAGUGCAAGAAAAUUCAAAUUUUGUCAACUUCCUAGCCUCUAGGUGUACUCAAGUACUUCUUUUAGGUUUGAACAACUAAUUCAUCAUCACUAUGCAAAUAAUGUUCUGGCCCAUCGUAUGCAUCAUCGGAAUCUUCAUGAUGUUCAUCAUUUUGGGACAACAAACUAUCAUCCUCCUCUAACCCCAAAACAUUAUUCAAUAAAUCGUUUAAUUGGCUAUUCUGACUAGUCGAUUCCAUUUGUUAAAAUUAUAUAAAACCAACAACAAAAUAAAUUCUUGAUCAACAAAUUAAAAGAAGAAAGGAUGAGAGUGAAGAGUGAUAGAUGUAGGAGAGGUGGUGGAAUGUGAUAUAAAAAGUAAAGUAAGAGAGAGAGCAAAUAAUUAUUAAAAUGUUAAAGGUGAUUUUCAUUUUUGGAGGGAAAUAUAAGAGGUUUUGGAGCAAAAGAGGCAUUUUCGUCAUUUAUCCGUGUCUUGUCAAUUAAUGCAAAAAUUUUGACUGACCAUCGGCUCCACUUAUAUUGUGCCACGUGGAAGUGUUGGGUCCCAUUUCAGAAAAUGAUUUUCUCUCUCUUCUUAAACGUUUUUUUUCAUCUUUCCUACUUUUUUUUUACUUCUUUUUCAUUGACUUUUCUUUUCAAAUUAAUGUUUCAAAUUUCUCUAUUUCCAUACUUGUAUAAUUUUAUUCAUGGAAAAUAUAAAAAUAUGAAAUCCAAAAAGAAAAUAUUCAUUCAAUUUCUAACAUUUUAAAAUUAAUUAUUUAUAUUACUAAAAAUAGUUAGAUAAAAUUAUUUGUUAAUUUACAAAAUAUAAUUAAUUACAAUUUUUUUUUAUUAUAACAUUUUUUUUCUUUUUGUAAGUGUAAAUAAAAUUUAUAAAUUUUAAAUUACAUAAGUUUUUAUACUAAUUUCAUGAAAUUAAAAAAACGGACAGCAUCCAUAAAUACCUAUAUAAAUACAUAUUCUUUCCGUUAAUUUAUACGAUAUCUUAUUUUUGAAAUUCAAGCUAGGUGAAAUUUUUCAUCACUUUAACCUUUUUUAUUUUUCUUUCUAUUUAAUUUUUGUGGACUUCUCAAAAAUAUACGAUACUAUAAAAAUUUUAUAGGGUACAUCAUAUAGGAUCCUUCAAAAAAAACAAAUUACGCAUUAUCUAAGAAUUUAAUCAUUUUAAAGAAAUAUGAUAAAUUAUUUCCAAUGAUUUUAUUAUUUAACGACGAUAUAUUAAGAUGUCUUGUUAAUAUUUGAUUUAAAUAAAAAUAAUCAAUAAAAUUACGAGUCAUAUCAACAAGAAAAAGCACUAUCAACAAUAUCAAAAUAAAACUAUAAAUUAAACUACGAAGUAAAUUGAAUAAAAUUUUAUUAUUAUAAAGAGAAACACAUGAAUACUAACAAAGAGAACAAUUUUUUUUUCCAGUUUUGAAGAGGGUUAUACGUAAAAUCAUUACGGUCCAUUUAUUAAUAAAAUAAUAGAAUGUUAAAAUUUAUCCUAAAAAAUCAAUGUCUAUUAUUACUUAAAUAAUUUUUAAUUUUAUAUUACUUUGGUAAAUAUGAUUGUAAAAGUUUAUAUUUGAAUUGCUUCACAAAAAUUGAAGAUUUUUCACUAUUAUAAGUCGAAUCAUUAUGAUGAAAUAAAUGUAAUAGAUAUAGUAUUAUAUGAGUUAUGCUCUCUCAUAAAUACAAGUCAGUUGAAUGCGAUUAUAUAAGCAUAAUCAAUUUUCCCUUCACGAGUAGUGCUAAAUGGCAAGACACUUUUUUGGCAUGAAUUGGCAGGACACGACGAAAUGACCAAAUAGCCCUUACGUGUGUUCAAAAAUGAUUAUUUGAUACGAGUAAAUUUGUCACUAGAUAAUUGGUCUCUAACAAUUGUUAGUCGAAAAAUAAAAGAAAAAUAAAUAAAAUUUGUGAAUGGACGAGAAAUAAAUGACUAAUUUUUAUAAGGUAAGAAAAUAUAGUUCAAUUAAUUAAUUUAAUCAUUAAUAUUUUCAAUGUUACGUAAUAAUUAUUUGAGGCAUUUAAAAUACAAAUUUCAUGAAAAAUAAAUUUUAUUCUUAUAUCAAAAUGUAAAUAACGUGAAAUGAUAGAAUGAAUUAGUUGUUCAAACCUAAAAGAAGUACUUGAGUACACCUAGAGGCUAAGAAGUUGACAAAAGUUGAAUUUUUUUGCACUCUUCCUUUGUAAGGCAAAUCCAUUAAUUAAGAUUUUUUAUCGGAAGGUAAGAAUAUAAAAUUUAAUCAAAAACUUUGAGUUGAAAAUUAAAAUAAAAUGAACGGAAGCGACGCAAAAAUAAUAACAUAAAUAUGGGGACCUAACCUAGACUCGAACUCAUGACUAAUUGACUCAACGUUUAAUCUUGCUUUAAACAUUUGCGCUGCAAUAGCAUUCGUUUAUAAUUACGAAAAGAACUAUAUAAAAUGUUACGUGUGUUCAAAAAUGAUUAUUUGAUACGAGUAAAUUUGUCACUAGAUAAUUGGUCUCUAACAAUUGUUAGUCGAAAAAUAAAAAUAAAAAUAAAAAAAUCUGUGAAUGGACGAGAAAUAAAUGACUAAUUUUUAUAAGGUAAGAAAAUAUAGUUCGAUUAAUUAAUUUAAUCAUUAAUAUUUUCAAUGUUACGUAAUAAUUAUUUGAGGCGUUUAAAAUACAAAUUUCAUGAAAAAUAAAUUUUAUUCUUAUAUCAAAAGGUAAAUAACGUGAAAUGACGGAAUGAAUUAGUUGUUAAAACCUAAAAGAAGUACUUGAGUACACCUAGAGGCUAGGAAGUUGACAAAAUUUGAAUUGAUUAGUUGAAUUUUCUUGCACUCUUCCUUGUAAGGCAAAUCCAUUAAUUAAGAUCUUUUUUCGGAAGGUAAGAAUAUAAAAUUUAAUUAAUUAAUUAAUUUAAUCAUCAAAAUAUUCUAUGAUAUAAAAAUUUUCAGACCCUUAGUUAUUAUUAUUAUUGAAAAUAAACUUAUUCUUAUAUAAAAAAUUUGUAGUAGUAAAUAUAACAAAGGCGAAUCGACGGAAUAAUUUUAUUAUUUUUUCAAGUCUAAGAUAAGUUCUUGAGUACACCUAGAAUUUUGACAAGAUUUGAUUUGAUAAGUUGAAUUUCUUACACUCAUCUUUUUUAAGAUCAAUUUUAUUGGAAGAUAAUAAUUUAAAAUAUAAUUAAAUUAAUGCAUUAUCAAAAUUUAUUAUGAUAUAAGUUAUUUCAGACCUUUAAUUAUUAAUUUCAUAGAUAAUAAAUGUAAUCAAAAACUUUGAGUCGAAAAUUAAAAUAAAAUGAACGGGAAGCGACGCAAAAAUAAUAACAUAAAUAUGGGGACCUAACCUAGACUCGAACUCAUGACUAAUUGACUAAACGUUUAAUCUUGCUUUAAACAUUUGCGCUGCAACAACAUUCGUUUAUAAUUACGAAAAGAACUAUAUUUACGCUUCUUAAUGAAUAUCAACUCUCUCAUAGAAGGAGUAGCCAACUGUCUUUGGGAAGUGUGUGGAAACUUUAUGUACAAGCUAUUAACUUAGGGAAGACAAACACUCAAGUUAGAUUUUCGGAUUCAAAGAAUUUCAAGUUUGAAGAGUAUCGACAUAGAUUUAAAGAUAUUUUGUCCUAUUUUUUCAGUUAUUUGAUUUAGUGGACUAUAAUAAACUACCGCGUUGUUGCACUAUUAAGCAUGUUCCUCUUGUUCGCAAGAAUGGGCUUGUUAUCGCUCUUUGUUUUUGAGUGACUUUCAUUUCGCCAAUUGUCUUUAACCCCUCGCGGCUAUAUUUACCGCCUAUAUUCAAGUCAAAUGGUCAAACUUGCACAUUCUUGUCAACUACAAUAUAUAGAAGAUUGAUAUAUUUGAACAAAGGUAGUUUAAUCAACUCGGAUUUGUCGUUGAUUUAUUAUUCCAAAUUAAAAUUAUGAACGAAAAGGAAACAAAAAAACACUAUUUAAAAUGACAACGUAUGGAGACCCAAAUUUGGUAGAAAUAGACGUAAACCUUACCCAAAAAAAAAUGAAAAAACUCAAUAAAGAAUGAAAUUAAAGUGAUAUGUUAGAAAAAAAAUAAUAUAUAUAUAUAUAUAUAUAUAUAUAGAGAGAGAGAGAGAGAGUGUCAACUCAAUUAUUUUAAUUAUUUAAAUUUUAGUCAAAAAUUUAUUUUUUGAGAUUUCAAUUUUAAUCACUCAAUUUUUAAUUGCCAAAUAUAUUUUUAUUUUUAUUUAUUCUAUAACCACUUAAUGUUUUUAAUGUUUAAUAUUAAUAAAAAAUUUCGUUCUUCAUCUUUUUUCAAUGCAAAAAUCCAUUUUUCAUUUUAUCUUUCACAAAUUUAUUUGGUUAAUUUUUUUUUAUUAUUAAUUUUAUCUUUGUAAAUAAACAAAUAAUUUUAUAUAACUAUUUUUAAUAAUAUAAAUAAUCAUUAUCGAGAUAAAUAAUAAUAUCAAAAUGUUAGAAAUAGUAUGAGUCCGGUAAAUUUUUUUGGAUUUCAAUAUUUUUCAUGAAUAAAGUUAUUUAAGUGGAAGUAUAAAAAUUUUGGAAGAAUUGUUAGAAAAAGAAACCUGAAGUAAAAAAAGUAGAAAGAGAAAAAGAAAACGUUAAAAGGUAAAGAGAGAGAUGUUUGGCCAUUUGAAAUGGAUCCACUUGGCAAAAUAUAAAUGGGCCUUAUACAAUUUUUAUCUGUCACAUCAUAUUUGUGCUUCAUGGAUAUUUCAAAAGUUGUGGUUUUAAAAGUAUUAAAAGUGGUUUUACUUUUGAGGGUAAUUUAGGUACACGAAAUAAUUGAAUUUACCCAAACACCCUUAAUUUUUCACCGAAAUUACGAAAAUACUUUGACUUUUGUUGCUCGUGUCAUUUCGUGUCAAAAAUCUGUCUUGCCAAUUAUAUUUUCCGAUUAUUUUUUUGGGACCUAAUAGCUAUAAAUAGCAUAUAGCUAGAGGACACUGACAAGUAGUACAGUAUUUUGUUUGUUUCCAAAUUUUGGCUACUAAUAUAUGAUUAUCGAGAUCUGCCUAUCACUCUAUCUUUAUUAAGACGAUUUUAUUGUUAAAAAUAUCUUCCUAAACACUCAUUACGUGUGUAACUAAUAUACACUAAUAUCUUGGAUACCUUAUUUUCUCUCCACUCUCCACCAUAUUUUGUUGUGUUGCAAGUUGCAACCUACUUUUCUCAAAUUUACAGUAAAAUUCAUUACUGUCUCAUACAUGGUACUCAAAUUUACUGUAAAAUUCAUUACUGUCUCAUCAUAAUUUUACCUAACCCCUUGAGGUUUUGAACUAGAUGUUUAGAUAUUGAUGUGUUUAGUUCGAAACAAAAUAUUUUUUGUGAAAUAUGUUUUCUCAAGAGUAUUUAUAUGUAAGAAAAUACUCGAAAGUGGGGGUUUUUUUUGGAGGGAGGGGGGGGGGGGGGGGCAGGGGAGGGGAGGUNNNNNNNNNNNNNNNNNNNNNNNNNGGGGGUUUUUUUUUGGGGGAGGGGGGGGGGGAGGGUCAAGAGGUUGGAGGUGGAGAUUUUGAGGGUACGGGGAGGAGAUAAUAAAUUUGAAAUACUCAUUUUUAAUAGGUGUUUCUAAAAUAAGUUUGUAUUAUUUAACUACAAUUAAUCAUAGAAAAGUGCUAAAAAUAGCAGAUCUCUUGCUAAAAUACUCGCUGAAAAUAUUUACUUGCCAAUCUAGCUAAAUCCAUUAUUUUAAUUUGUGGGCUGGAUACGAUGGGUGAUGACUUUUUUUUUAGAUUAUUUGUGGAAUUCAGGUUUAUAUGACAUAAAAACAGUAAUUUAUUUUGCAGAAAAUUUUUAAUGAUAAAUUUGAUUGAACGACUUUAAAAGAUAAAAUUUUU
rnacentral:lncRNA from 1 species